UGAGGAAUAUUGGACAAUGGGUGGAAGCCUGAUCCAGCCAUCCCGCGUGAAGGACGACGGUUCUAUGGAUUGUAAACUUCUUUUAUAUGGGGAUAAACCUACUCUCGUGAGGGUAGCUGAAGGUACCAUAUGAAUAAGCACCGGCUAACUCCGUGCCAGCAGCCGCGGUAAUACGGAGGGUGCAAGCGUUAUCCGGAUUUAUUGGGUUUAAAGGGUCCGUAGGUGGGUUGGUAAGUCAGUGGUGAAAUCCUGCAGCUUAACUGUAGAAUUGCCAUUGAUACUGCUAGUCUUGAGUGUAUUUGAAGUAGCUGGAAUAAGUAGUGUAGCGGUGAAAUGCAUAGAUAUUACUUAGAACACCAAUUGCGAAGGCAGGUUACUAAGAUACAACUGACGCUGAUGGACGAAAGCGUGGGGAGCGAACA
rnacentral:rRNA from 1 species